AAUAAUAUCAGUUUUCGUUUUUUUCGUAUUCAACGUUUAAUCAUUCGUCUUAUUUAAAAAAAAUUAUGAUUAAUAUUUUUAUUAUUACUAGAUAAUAAAAUAUGAACAGUACUUUAUAUGUGACUAAUUUUUUUAAGUUUUUUUAUAAAUUUUUCAAAUAAGACGAAUAGUCAAACGUUGAACACAGAAAAAC
rnacentral:pre_miRNA from 1 species